UACGUAGGGAGCGAGCGUUGUCCGGAUUUAUUGGGCGUAAAGAGCGUGUAGGCGGUCCGGUAAGUCCGCUGUGAAAGUCGGGGGCUCAACCCUCGAAUGCCGGUGGAUACUGUCGGGCUAGAGUACGGAAGAGGCGAGUGGAAUUCCUGGUGUAGCGGUGAAAUGCGCAGAUAUCAGGAGGAACACCUAUUGCGAAGGCAGCUCGCUGGGACGUAACUGACGCUGAGACGCGAAAGCGUGGGGAGCAAACAGG
rnacentral:rRNA from 1 species